AGAGUAGGGUGCUGUGGUCUAAGCUAGAGGGUGAGGCUGGUGGAGCAAAAGGAUGGGCGAGCAGUCUGAAUGCCAGAAUGAAUAACCGUUUUGCUACAGCAUUUGUAAUUGCUUGUGUGCUUAGCCUCAUUUCCACCAUCUACAUGGCAGCCUCAAUUGGCACAGACUUCUGGUAUGAAUAUCGAAGUCCAGUUCAAGAAAAUUCCAGUGAUUUGAACAAAAACCUCUGGGAGGACUUCAUUAGUGAUGAGGCAGAUGAAAAGACUUACAGUGAUGCACUUUUUUGAUAUAAUGGCACUGUGGGAUUGUGGAGACGGUGUAUCAUCAUAUCUAAAAACACACAUUGGUAUAGCCCACCAGAAAGGACAGAGUCAUUUGAUGUGGUCACAAAAUGUAUGAGUUUCACACUGACUGAGCAGUUCAUGGAGAAAUUUGUUGAUCCUGGAAACCACAAUAGUGGAAUUGAUCUACUUUGGACCUAUCUUUGGCGUUGCCAGUUUCUGCUACCUUUUGUUAGUUUAGGUUUGAUGUGCUUUGGGGCUUUGAUUGGACUUUGUGCUUGUAUUUGCCAAAGCUUGUAUCCCACCAUUGCCACGGGCAUUCUCCACCUCCUUGUAGGUCUUUGUACACUGGGCUCAGUAAGUUGUUAUGUUGCUGGAAUUGAACUGCUCCACGAGAAACUAGAGCUGCCUGAGAAUGUAUCUGGUGAAUUUGGAUGGUCCUUCUGCCUGGCUUGUGUCUCAGCUCCCUUACAGUUCAUAGCUUCUGCUUUCUUCAUCUGGGCGGCUCAAACCAACCGGAAAGAGUAUACCUUAAUGAAGGCGUAUCGUGUGGCCUGAGUGGGAAGCUGCCUGCUUUACAAUUGCCAUUUUUAUUUUUUAAUAAUGACUUUCUUUUUUGCUUCCUUCCCAUUUGUUUUUUAUUUAAUUUUUAUUUUUUUGUGGAUAUACCAUUUUAUUCUGGAAAUGUAUUUAUACAUACACACACCACUAAAUAGCACUUAAUACAACUAAAAAUUUAUGUGGUUUACUCUAAGUGAGUCCAUCUAUCAAACAAACUAAUCUAGGCUCAGAGUCCAGACAGAACGAAAUGGA